AGAGUUUGAUCAUGGCUCAGAUUGAACGCUGGCGGCAGGCCUAACACAUGCAAGUCGAACGGUAACAGGAAACAGCUUGCUGUUUCGCUGACGAGUGGCGGACGGGUGAGUAAUGUCUGGGAAACUGCCUGAUGGAGGGGGAUAACUACUGGAAACGGUAGCUAAUACCGCAUAACGUCGCAAGACCAAAGAGGGGGACCUUCGGGCCUCUUGCCAUCGGAUGUGCCCAGAUGGGAUUAGCUAGUAGGUGGGGUAACGGCUCACCUAGGCGACGAUCCCUAGCUGGUCUGAGAGGAUGACCAGCCACACUGGAACUGAGACACGGUCCAGACUCCUACGGGAGGCAGCAGUGGGGAAUAUUGCACAAUGGGCGCAAGCCUGAUGCAGCCAUGCCGCGUGUAUGAAGAAGGCCUUCGGGUUGUAAAGUACUUUCAGCGGGGAGGAAGGGAGUAAAGUUAAUACCUUUGCUCAUUGACGUUACCCGCAGAAGAAGCACCGGCUAACUCCGUGCCAGCAGCCGCGGUAAUACGGAGGGUGCAAGCGUUAAUCGGAAUUACUGGGCGUAAAGCGCACGCAGGCGGUUUGUUAAGUCAGAUGUGAAAUCCCCGGGCUCAACCUGGGAACUGCAUCUGAUACUGGCAAGCUUGAGUCUCGUAGAGGGGGGUAGAAUUCCAGGUGUAGCGGUGAAAUGCGUAGAGAUCUGGAGGAAUACCGGUGGCGAAGGCGGCCCCCUGGACGAAGACUGACGCUCAGGUGCGAAAGCGUGGGGAGCAAACAGGAUUAGAUACCCUGGUAGUCCACGCCGUAAACGAUGUCGACUUGGAGGUUGUGCCCUUGAGGCGUGGCUUCCGGAGCUAACGCGUUAAGUCGACCGCCUGGGGAGUACGGCCGCAAGGUUAAAACUCAAAUGAAUUGACGGGGGCCCGCACAAGCGGUGGAGCAUGUGGUUUAAUUCGAUGCAACGCGAAGAACCUUACCUGGUCUUGACAUCCACGGAAGUUUUCAGAGAUGAGAAUGUGCCUUCGGGAACCNNNNNNNNNNAAUUGACGGGGGCCCGCACAAGCGGUGGAGCAUGUGGUUUAAUUCGAUGCAACGCGAAGAACCUUACCUGGUCUUGACAUCCACAGAACUUUCCAGAGAUGGAUUGGUGCCUUCGGGAACUGUGAGACAGGUGCUGCAUGGCUGUCGUCAGCUCGUGUUGUGAAAUGUUGGGUUAAGUCCCGCAACGAGCGCAACCCUUAUCCUUUGUUGCCAGCGGUCCGGCCGGGAACUCAAAGGAGACUGCCAGUGAUAAACUGGAGGAAGGUGGGGAUGACGUCAAGUCAUCAUGGCCCUUACGACCAGGGCUACACACGUGCUACAAUGGCGCAUACAAAGAGAAGCGACCUCGCGAGAGCAAGCGGACCUCAUAAAGUGCGUCGUAGUCCGGAUUGGAGUCUGCAACUCGACUCCAUGAAGUCGGAAUCGCUAGUAAUCGUGGAUCAGAAUGCCACGGUGAAUACGUUCCCGGGCCUUGUACACACCGCCCGUCACACCAUGGGAGUGGGUUGCAAAAGAAGUAGGUAGCUUAACCUUCGGGAGGGCGCUUACCACUUUGUGAUUCAUGACUGGGGUGAAGUCGUAACAAGGUAACCGUAGGGGAACCUGCGGUUG
rnacentral:rRNA from 1 species